ensembl:lncRNA
UCUGUUAAACCUCCAAUUUUUACUUUCAGAGAUUGCUGAUGCCUAUGUCGAUGUAUCUCAAAUAGUUUCCUUUUUACACAUUUAACUCAACUUUGAUAGUAUACCUACCAGACCUGGACCAGGUUAAUUGCAUAGGAAGAUUUUUACUAUGUUUACAUUUUUCUUAAAUUAAUUUUAAAAAAGCAUAGUAAAGAGUCUGAGGACAAAUUAUUCAACUGUUUAUCAUACAUAAGACCGCAUGACUAUAAUACAAAGGGGGGGUUCUUUUUUCAUUUAACGUUACAAUAUACACAGCAAGUCCGGACUAGAUCUUACAAUCUGAACACAGGUAUUUAACCUUUUCCAUGCUGUUUAUGUUUACAAUGCACAGAAGUCCUGUAACCAAACUGUGUAGUAAAGCACACAAAACUGGACUGUAACAUAACACAGUAUGCAGAAGCAUUGGAUUUUAUGAUUUUCUUUAUGUAAAUAUCGGUUUAAAAACUGCUUUAGUUUUUUGGUGCUUGCUAAGAUGUGGCAACCAGCACAGAAAAAAAAUGACCUGACCCAUAUGAUAUCUUAACCUUAUAUUCCUAAACAGCAGUAACUACUGAAUUCCUUUUGAUAUUGCUAUACUCAAGAUGAUAUCCUUUUAUUCACUGUAAACCUUUAAGAACUACCAAGUUCAAAAAAAUCAUCCACAGGCUUGACAGUUAAUUACAAAAUAAAUAUGGAUUUCCUGAUAAACGACAAAAAAUUUCUGUAGUUUAUAAAAAUGAAUAUUUCCAAGUUUCCAUUCACAUUUACAUAGUGUUUAGCCUUUCUUUUGUCACUGUUUACAUAUAAAAACCUGCUUUUGUUCAGAAAAAAAAUUGACCUAGUCAGCCACAUGGAAUUGCCCAAUAGAAUGAAAGGCGGUGUUCUGCUGAGUCGUCUUAAACAGGUUAGCGGCAGAGGUAGAUUACUGCUUCUUUUCUAGGCUUCUUUUGAUCCUGGACAGGUAAAUUACUUCAUUCUCCCAAUUCAACCGCUCAAAAGUGUCACACCCCAAAAUUGGUCAAUUUAAAAUGGGAACACAAAUUUAGCAACUGCCAGACUGUGUUACAUUAAGGCAGCGUAAUCCCAACACGAGGCACCUGUUAAUAAUACCAGCCUGUCUGCUCAGGUCACGCAUGAGAGUUCUGCUUUACUUGCGCUCAUACUCUGGACCUGUUGGUGCAAUCAAGGUCUUGCUUUCAAGUUUACAAGUAGGUUAAUCAGGAAUACAAGAAUCAACUGCUGGUUCCAUAGCUUCUGGAUCCAGUGUCCCUUUACCUUCAGAAGCCUGAACACACUUAGAAUGUAACAGAUGUUGUAAUCUUGAAUUAGAUGUCAAUCUAUUAUGUUCAGUACACAGAUUGCUGUAAAUGUAUUGGCUAUGGAUUCAACAACAGUUCCAGUUUUGUUUAAGCAAUAGUACAGCCAUAAUUUUCAACUGACAUUUAAAAAUGGUCUAGUUACACCUUGUGUCAAAGUGCAGAACUGCUACAUUAUUGGUUACAGACAUCUAUGUGCUAUAAAAACAGCUUUGGUACAAUAAAUUAUCAAAAAAGAAAAUAAAUUUUUGUAAAAUUCACAGCAUAAUUGUGAGGCAAAAAAGCAGUCACAUAAAAUUCUGCAUUUUUUAAAAAUGUUCAGGAUGAACAGAAGACAUCUUUGUGCAGAAGAAAUGGUGGAGAUACCACGUGCCGAGAAAAAGCAAAAGAAAAAGUAAAAAGCAGGAAGGGACACAGCUGUAGCUAUUUCCAUCAAAGCAAACCACUACUUCUGUGACCUUCAACCAAUAAGGAAGUCAACUUUAUGACACACGCAAAGUGACCUUGCAAUACCUUACAAUUAGUGGGUCACAAAAGUCUAUUUUAAAAGAAAGGCCUCUUGAAUUACCCAUUCUCUGUGUUUUCAGCAUUAAGGACUGUCUGCAAAAGCAUGUCC